rnacentral:lncRNA from 1 species
GGCGUGAGUUGUGGGUUUUAGGAUUCAUCUCUAGAUUUUGUGAGAAGAAAAAUACAGGAGUGAGUCUUGUCCAAUCUUCCACAUCAUUACCUCCUCAUAAAGUUUUAUCUUCUGAUCUAGAGGAGUUUGGGAGAUCCAAAGAAAGGAGCUUGGAUCAGCCAUCCAAAGCCUUCGACGUGAGCUAGCACUCCCGCGAAGGAAGAUCCGAUUAAAGCUUCGAGUGGACGAUCUGUAGAGGUCGGACGAUCUGUGUGGCUACUCGACUUCAGUGAGAGUUUUGUACUA